rnacentral:rRNA from 1 species
CGAAAGCCUGACGGAGCAACGCCGCGUGGGGGAAGAAGGUUCUUGGAUUGUAAACCCCUUUUCUCAGGGAAGAAGUUCUGACGGUACCUGAGGAAUCAGCCUCGGCUAACUCCGUGCCAGCAGCCGCGGUAAUACGGAGGAGGCAAGCGUUAUCCGGAAUCAUUGGGCGUAAAGCGUUCGUAGGCGGUCGUUCAAGUCUGCUGUCAAAGACCGAGGCUCAACCUCGGGUCGGCAGUGGAAACUGGAUGACUAGAGAUCGGUAGGGGCAGAGGGAAUUCCCAGUGUAGCGGUGAAAUGCGUAGAUAUUGGGAAGAACACCGGUGGCGAAAGCGCUCUACUGGGCCGCAACUGACGCUGAGGGACGAAAGCUAGGGGAGCG